GUACCCUGAAUAUAUGCCUUCGUUACAGAAGCUUUUUGAGGUUUAAGACAUAUGCUGAAAAAGAAGUGUGGCAGUGGCUCACCACCUACGAAGAAAAAUCCAAAUUACUCUGUUUAAACAGGCAACCUUGAAAUACGAUAUGCACUGGAUUUGAGUUCUGUUAACUCUGUGUGAGUCAUUGCAAACAACUACCAGUUGAAAGAGGGAAAAUUUGUGGAAACAUGAGAAGCAAAGAAGAUCAAAGAAGAGCAGGAAGAGGCAGAGAGCAAAAAAGGUUUUUUUAAAGGAAGCCUCCUGUUACAUCUUCAGAUAACUCUGAUCUCUAGGAAUGUACUACUGUAUGAAGGACAAGAAUUAUGAGGUGAGAAUGUUACCGUGUGUACAAGUUGGAGUUUUCUGAAUGUUCGGUAGAGGUUCACAUGACGUUAGAAAAUAGGAGGACAUUUUUGGAAGAUGUGCAAACUUCUGGCAAGGGAGACAAGUUGCAGACUGGGAUCAGGCAGACAAAUAGAUUUCAAUGUGAAUCUUUAACUUA
rnacentral:lncRNA from 10 species